rnacentral:misc_RNA from 1 species
CCAAACUUGGUCAUUUAGAGGAAGUAAAAGUCGUAACAAGGUUUCCGUAGGUGAACCUGCGGAAGGAUCAUUAACGUAUCUACCUCUGGGGGUCGUGUGGCCCUGCUCCGGCUCCGGCCGUACGAGCGGGUCCGCGCCGCUGGAAACACUACAAACCCCUGUGCACCUUUCGCGGUGGAGAGGAUUGUGGCGAGAGCCCCUUCCGAACCCUGCGGCCUCACAAACACGCAAAAGUUUAAGAAUGUCUGAAGCAGACCCCGUCUGCCCAUGAAAUGUAACAACUUUCAACAACGGAUCUCUUGGCUCUCGCAUCGAUGAAGAACGCAGC